GUGAUUCAUCAGAACCUCUGGGGAUGUCCUGUGGAUUCUGUGGAUCCUGUGGGUUGCAGGGUGGGUCCUACCUAGACCAGGCUGAUCCUGGACCAUCCCACAGAUGCUCCAUCAGAUGUGGAUGUGGGGAGUGUGGAACCCAGAUGUUCAGAGGGAGAUGAUGCCACAUCUGGUCCAGCUGAUGGAAGGUCUUGAAGUUCUCUGACUGGCCUCGACUGAAGAUGGUCGUCUCACUGGAUUUAAGAUGCACAAUGAGGGACGUCUGCAGUGACUGAGAAAGAGUCUCACCACAUCCUGACAUGAGGAAAACGACUUUAUUGAAGACUACAAUGAGAAAAACUAUCAGACAGCAGAGGGCUGCAUUCAAGGCUACAGGAGGAGUCCUACGAGGACGAGCCGGUCCACCUGAUGGUGGCCAGUUGCUGUGGUUCAAAGCCAACACCGACUACGUGGACUUCUACUGGACCACACGGAGGCCUUCAAACUGGACCACCAAGUUCACUGACUCCCCGACUCGUGGGUCUGAGGACGCCGCCGAGCCUCGGCCCAGCCGGCCUCCUGUCUGUGGGUGUUUGAGUGCUGAGAGGUUUGUGGAUGCAUGUGAACAUGUCUGUGUUGAAACAGCAGCUUUGGACUCAGUAACGCUGGGAAAAACCAAGAGCUCCUUUAUUUGUGACUUCCACUAAAAAACUGAUGAAAAUAAGUUUGCCAGGGUUCUGACUGAUAACAGAUUAUUAAAUAAUGAAAAUAAUCGUUUAAAUAUUUCUUUAAACAAUCCUUUUAGGUCUACAUUUCCUUUACACUGACUUCUUGGUAUAUGUACAACUAUUUUGGAUGGACUAUACCAUUAAGUCCAAUGUUCAAGGGUUCUUCUGGGAAUAUACCAUUAAACCAACCUUUUAGGUAAAUGUUCCAGGAUGUUGGGUAGAAUAUACCAUCAGAUCAACCUUUUAGGUCUACAUUGGAAGAUUUUAGAGUAGAAUAUUACUCCAAACCAUCCUUUAGGUCUACAUUUAAGGUGGAAUACUCCUUUACACCAAGAUUUUUUGGUCUCGAUUGAAGGAUUUUAGGUGGAAUAUUCCUUUGAAUGAACUUUUUAAGUUUAUGUUCAAGGAUGUUGGGUGGAAUAUACCAUCAGACCAACCUCCAAGGUCUACAGUAGUGAAUUUUAGCUGGAAUAUACCAUUAAACUCAC
ensembl:lncRNA